GACGAACGCUGGCGGCGUGCUUAACACAUGCAAGUCGAACGAAGUGGCGAGCGGGUGAGUAACGCGUAAUCAACCUGCCCUUCAGGGGGGGACUACAGUUGAAAACGACUGCUAAUACCGCAUACUUAAGGCGGGGAUUGCGUCGGAUUAGCUCGUUGGAGGGGUAACGGCCCACCAGGGCGAUGAUCAGUAGCCGGGCUGAGAGGAUGACCGGCCACACUGGGACUGAGACACGGCCCAGACUCCUACGGGAGGCAGCAGUGGGGAAUAUUGCGCAAUGGACGAAAGUCUGACGGAGCAACGCCGCGUGAGUGAUGACGGCCUUAGGGUUGUAAAGCUCUGUUAAUCGGGAGGGGGUACCGGAAUAGAAGGCCACGGCAAACUACGUGCAGGCGGCCGCGGUAAUA
rnacentral:rRNA from 1 species